rnacentral:rRNA from 1 species
AGUGAACGCUGGCGGUAGGCCUAACACAUGCAAGUCGAACGGCAGCACAGUAAGAGCUUGCUCUUACGGGUGGCGAGUGGCGGACGGGUGAGGAAUACAUCGGAAUCUACUUUUUCGUGGGGGAUAGCGUAGGGAAACUUACGCUAAUACCGCAUACGACCUACGGGUGAAAGCAGGGGAUCUUCGGACCUUGCGCGAUUGAAUGAGCCGAUGUCGGAUUAGCUAGUUGGCGGGGUAAAGGCCCACCAAGGCGACGAUCCGUAGCUGGUCUGAGAGGAUGAUCAGCAACACUGGAACUGAGACACGGUCCAGACUCCUACGGGAGGCAGCAGUGGGGAAUAUUGGACAAUGGGCGCAAGCCUGAUCCAGCCAUACCGCGUGGGUGAAGAAGGCCUUCGGGUUGUAAAGCCCUUUUGUUGGGAAAGAAAAGCAGCAGGUUAAUACCCCGCUGUUCUGACGGUACCCAAAGAAUAAGCACCGGCUAACUUCGUG